AGGUGACAUCUCUUCUUAUUCUUUCUUUCACCUAUCAAUUUAUUUUUCUUACUCCAUUAAGGAUAAUGUCAUUUAAGUUGAGGGCUGAGGGAUCAAUAAUGAAUCCUCGAAUAUGUUAGUACUUAGUGUCUAUGUACUUGAUUAUGCUUUAAACUUGAGGUUAAUCAGGUAUUUUAAGAAAUAAUUGAUACACAGUCUAAAGGAUUUUUCGAAUAUAUUAAGAAACCCAAUACAUGAUUAAGUUUAGAAUAAAAAUCAAAUUUUGAACAUUUCUAACCCUUCCUAUUAACAUCAAAGAAGAAUUUAGUUCUUGUGUG
rnacentral:lncRNA from 1 species